rnacentral:rRNA from 1 species
CUGACCUCGAAUCAGGUGGGACUACCCGCUGAACUUAAGCAUAUCAAUAAGCGGAGGAAAAGAAACUAACAAGGAUUCCCUUAGUAACUGCGAGUGAAGUGGGAUGAGCUC